GAUGAACGCUGGCGGCGUGCCUAAUACAUGCAAGUCGAGCGAAUGGAUUAAGAGCUUGCUCUUAUGAAGUUAGCGGCGGACGGGUGAGUAACACGUGGGUAACCUGCCCAUAAGACUGGGAUAACUCCGGGAAACCGGGGCUAAUACCAGAUAACAUUUUGAACCGCAUGGUUCGAAAUUGAAAGGCGGCUUCGGCUGUCACUUAUGGAUGGACCCGCGUCGCAUUAGCUAGUUGGUGAGGUAACGGCUCACCAAGGCAACGAUGCGUAGCCGACCUGAGAGGGUGAUCAGCCACACUGGGACUGAGACACGGCCCAGACUCCUACGGGAGGCAGCAGUAGGGAAUCUUCCGCAAUGGACGGAAGUCUGACGGAGCAACGCCGCGUGAGUGAUGAAGGCUUUCGGGUCGUAAAACUCUGUUGUUAGGGAAGAACAAGUGCUAGUUGAAUAAGCUGGCACCUUGACGGUACCUAACCAGAAAGCCACGGCUAACUACGUGCCAGCCGCCGCGGUAA
rnacentral:rRNA from 1 species